rnacentral:rRNA from 1 species
ACAACUUUCAACGGAUCUCUUGGCUCUCGGAUCGAUG